GCCUAGCCAAUGGUACCUGGGCUGGUGACUCUCCGCUGUGUGAAGAAAUCCGGUGUCCCAACCUCACUACAACGCUGACUACUGCCUUAAGUGUGGUAGUGGAGGAUAGUGGCCGAGUGGAGGCUACAGCGGACUAUUCCUGCGAGAAGGGGAGGAGGAUAGUCGGGAAUAGUCAGCGGAAGUGUGGUAGUAAUGGUAUCUGGAGUGGCAGUCAACCGCGCUGUGAAUAUGUGACCUGCGACCUACCACAAGGCCUUGAUAAUGGUAGAAUAGUCCGACUCAACCAGACCCUGGAAUACGGUAGCCUGGUCGAAUAUCACUGUCUACCGGAACACAGGCUGGUCGGGGGGAGCUUCCGGAGGUCGUGUGGCGAGCUGGGCGAGUGGUUGGGCGGAGAACCGAAGUGUGUGUUGGGUCCAGAGGAUGCCUACAACACCAUAGGCUCCGAUAGUAGUAGUAGUAGUAGUAGUAGUGUGAGUACUACUUCUACUUCUACCGCUAGCAACACCGGGCUCUACAUCGGACUAUUCUUCGGGUUCAUCGUGGCGAUAGUCUUCAUAGGAGUGCUAGUCUACUUCAGA